rnacentral:sRNA from 1 species
UGCGGAACGGAGCAAUCCGGUCC